AGGACGAACGCUGGCGGCGUGCUUAACACAUGCAAGUCGAGCGGUAAGGCCUUUCGGGGUACACGAGCGGCGAACGGGUGAGUAACACGUGGGUGAUCUGCCCUGCACUUCGGGAUAAGCCUGGGAAACUGGGUCUAAUACCGGAUAUGACCUCCUAUCGCAUGGUGGGUGGUGGAAAGAUUUAUCGGUGCAGGAUGGGCCCGCGGCCUAUCAGCUUGUUGGUGGGGUAAUGGCCUACCAAGGCGACGACGGGUAGCCGACCUGAGAGGGUGACCGGCCACACUGGGACUGAGACACGGCCCAGACUCCUACGGGAGGCAGCAGUGGGGAAUAUUGCACAAUGGGCGAAAGCCUGAUGCAGCGACGCCGCGUGAGGAUGACGGCCUUCGGGUUGUAAACCUCUUUCAGCAGGACGAAGCGCAAGUGACGGUACCUGCAGAAGAAGCACCGGCUAACGUACGUGACCAGCAGCCGAC
rnacentral:rRNA from 1 species